rnacentral:rRNA from 1 species
CCUACGGGAGGCUGCAGUGGGGAAUAUUGCACAAUGGGGGAAACCCUGAUGCAGCGACACCGCGUGAGUGAAGAAGUAAUUCGUUAUGUAAAGCUCUAUCAGCAGGGAAGAAAAUGACGGUACCUGAGUAAGAAGCCCCGGCUAACUACGUGCCAGCAGCCGCGGUAAUACGUAGGGGGCAAGCGUUAUCCGGAUUUACUGGGUGUAAAGGGAGCGUAGACGGCAGUGCAAGUCUGGAGUGAAAGGCAGGGGCUCAACCCCCGGACUGCUCUGGAAACUGUACGGCUGGAGUGCGGGAGAGGUAAGUGGAAUUCCUGGUGUAGCGGUGAAAUGCGUAGAUAUUAGGAGGAACACCAGUGGCGAAGGCGGCUUACUGGACUGUAACUGACGUUGAGGCUCGAAAGCGUGGGGAGCAAACAGGAUUAGAUACCCCAGUAGUC